UGGGGAAUAUUGGACAAUGGGCGCAAGCCUGAUCCAGCCAUGCCGCGUGAGUGAUGAAGGCCUUAGGGUUGUAAAGCUCUUUCGCCAGGGACGAUAAUGACGGUACCUGGAUAAGAAGCCCCGGCUAACUUCGUGCCAACAGCCGCGGUAAUACGAAGGGGGCUAGCGUUGUUCGGAAUUACUGGGCGUAAAGCGCAUGUAGGCGGAUCGCUAAGUCAGGGGUGAAAUCCCGAGGCUCAACCUCGGAACUGCCUUUGAUACUGGCGAUCUUGAGUCCGGGAGAGGUGAGUGGAACUCCGAGCGUAGAGGUGAAAUUCGUAGAUAUUCGGAAGAACACCAGUGGCGAAGGCGGCUCACUGGCCCGGUACUGACGCUGAGAUGCGAAAGCGUGGGGGGCAAA
rnacentral:rRNA from 1 species